AUACUACUCCCUCUGUUCCGAAUUACUUGUCUUGGAUUUGUCUAGAUACGGAUGUAUCUAGACUCAUUUUAGUGCUAGAUAUCUCCGUAUCUAGACAAAUCCAAGACAAGUAAUUUGGAACGGAGGGAGUACAUC
rnacentral:pre_miRNA from 1 species